rnacentral:rRNA from 1 species
UACGAAGGGGGCUAGCGUUGCUCGGGAAUCACUGGGCGUAAAGGGUGCGUAGGCGGGUCUUUAAGUCAGGGGUGAAAUCCUGGAGCUCAACUCCAGAACUGCCUUUGAUACUGAGGAUCUUGAGUUCGGGAGAGGUGAGUGGAACUGCGAGUGUAGAGGUGAAAUUCGUAGAUAUUCGCAAGAACACCAGUGGCGAAGGCGGCUCACUGGCCCGGUACUGGACGCUGAGGUGGCGAAAGCGUGGGGAGCAAACAGG